CUGGGCGUAAGCGCGCGCAGGCGGCACACUAAGUACGAUGUGAAAUCUCCCUGCUCAACGGGGAGGGUGCAUAGUAAACUGGUGAGCUAGAGGACGGUAGAGGGGGGUGGAAUUGCUGGUGUAGCGGUGAAAUGCGUAGAGAUCAGCAGGAACACCCGUGGCGAAGGCGGCCCCCUGGGCCGAACCUGACGCUGAGGCGCGAAGGCUAGGGGAGCGAACGGGAUUAGAUACCCCGGUAGUCCUAGCAGUAAACGAUGGCCACUAGGUGUGGGGGGUGUUGACCCCUUCCGUGCCGAAGCUAACGCAUUAAGUGGCCCGCCUGGGGAGUACGGUCGCAAGACUAAAACUCAAAGGAAUUGACGGGGACCCGCACAAGCAGCGGAGCGUGUGGUUUAAUUCGAUGCGACGCGAAGAACCUUACCAAGGCUUGACAUACACCUGCAACUGCUUGAAAGAGCAACCUCUUCGGACAGGUGCACAGAUGCUGCAUGGCUGUCGUCAGCUCGUGUCGUGAGAUGUUGGGUUAAGUCCCGCAACGAGCGCAACCCUUGUCCUUAGUUGCAAAUCUAGGGAGACCGCCGGAAACAAACCGGAGGAAGGUGGGGAUGACGUCAAGUCAGCAUGGCUCU
rnacentral:rRNA from 1 species